AUUGAACGCUGGCGGCAUGCCUUACACAUGCAAGUCGAACGGCAGCACGGGAGCAAUCCUGGUGGCGAGUGGCGAACGGGUGAGUAAUAUAUCGGAACGUGCCCAGUCGUGGGGGAUAACGUAGCGAAAGCUACGCUAAUACCGCAUACGAUCUAUGGAUGAAAGCGGGGGAUCGCAAGACCUCGCGCGAUUGGAGCGGCCGAUAUCAGAUUAGGUAGUUGGUGAGGUAAAGGCUCACCAAGCCGACGAUCUGUAGCUGGUCUGAGAGGACGACAGCCACACUGGGACUGAGACACGGCCCAGACUCCUACGGGAGGCAGCAGUGGGGAAUUUUGGACAAGUGGG
rnacentral:rRNA from 1 species